UAAGGAAUAUUGGACAAUGGUCGCAAGACUGAUCCAGCCAUGCCGCGUGCAGGAAGACGGCCCUAUGGGUUGUAAACUGCUUUUGUACCAGAGAAAACCUAUCUACGUGUAGAUAGCUGAUAGUAUGGUAAGAAUAAGCAUCGGCUAACUUCGUGCCAGCAGCCGCGGUAAGACGAAGGAUGCAAGCGUUAUCCGGAUUCAUUGGGUUUAAAGGGUGCGUAGGCGGGCUUGUAAGUCAGUGGUGAAAUCUCUCAGCUUAACUGAGAAACUGCCAUUGAUACUGCAGGCCUAGAGUAUAGAUGACGUUGGCGGAAUAUGACAUGUAGUGGUGAAAUACUUAGAUAUGUCAUAGAACACCGAUUACGAAGGCAGCUAACGAAACUAUAACUGACGCUGAGGCACGAAAGUGCGGGGAUCAAACA
rnacentral:rRNA from 1 species